rnacentral:lncRNA from 1 species
CACAUUGGUUGGCCAACAAUCACCUAGUCCCACAAUGGAACCAUGGGCAUUUCUGCAAGGAUCAUCCCUUGCUCAUGACAAUGUCUUUUCUGGUGUUUUGCAGUCAUCUCACAUGCCACCUUGGAAGGCAGAGAAACACAGAUAAUCAGGAAAGAUAUUCUUCAAAGUUUCAAACAAGGGUGCCCUUGCUUCCCUGGAAGAACUUUCUUGCCUGCAUCCCUCUCCAGUUACAUGUAACCAUUCCUAACUCUGAGGCAGUUUGGGAAAGGAAGUCAUAUGACAUGCCACCUUGGAAAGCAGAGAACCACAGAUAUCAGUUCCUCCUCUUAACUUUGGACAUCGAAAAAACAAGCUAUCCAAUCAUUUAA